CUUUAAACUAUAAACAAAUAAGGUGUUUUUAAAAAACAUAAAUAAGGUGUUAAUAUUUGGUGUUUUAGAAAAAUUUGCUUAUUGUUGCAAGUAUUACAGAAGUCCCUUCCCCCACAACAACGACCCUCUCUCCACCUUGCUCCGGCCCCCUCCCCAGGUCUUCCCCACAUUACUGUCUGUCCGAGGGGUAUGCCUAUAGGUAUAUAAGUUCACUGGUUAAUAUUUGGCUUUUAAAACAAAAAUAUUCUGAAACUUAACUGAAGUUUGUAUUUUAGGUGAAAUGUCCUGUAAUAUUUGAAAUCAAACUUUUGCUAACUUAAAUGGGUAUAAUAUGAUCUAUGUAAUAUGAGCUACAACAUAUAGUCAGAUUUUCUCAUUGAAUAUUCUUUCCUGGAUUACCUGAAAAUUAAUAUUCUUCAUUUAAUAUCCAAUUUUGGAAAUUAAAUAUAAACCAUUAUUUUGUGAGAUCACUGACAUGGUUGCAUUCAACAGUGCCUUAAAUUGUUUGCCAAAGGCCUUUUUCUUAAUUAUGAUACCUUACCUGUUUUAUCUGAUCAGAUUCUGGAAGUUGUGCAGCCAUAUUCUUUCAGUACCUUUAUUAGUCAUACUUAAGCACAGGCUCGCUUCCGACAACAGUACGAGGCUGGGGGGACUGCGCUGCCAGUCGAGUCCGGGGGCGGAGGGUCGGGGUCACGGCGGGUGCCGCCGCCGCUGGAUGCAGAACACGUGGGAGAGGUGAUGUCAAAUAGCCCUUAGAUCCUCGGACGCCGAUUCGUAUAACGAGGGGAAUUAGUUCGGGAGCGCUUCAGGUCUUCAACGAGUCUCUUGGGUUUUAUCCAAUAUUUAAAUCCUUUGGGGCAAUGUACUGCCUUAAAACGAUCCACACCUGUCUUAAGCCUUUUACGUUGGGCGUUUGUUUCCACCCGGAAAGGGAUG